GAUGGAAGAACUGGUGGGUGAGAGGCAUCCUGACUUUGGCCAUGAUUGCAUUUUUCUUCAUCAUCAUUUACCUGGGACCAAUGGUUUUGAUGAUAAUCGUGAUGUGCGUUCAGAUUAAGUGUUUCCAUGAGAUAAUCACUAUUGGCUACAACGUCUACCACUCGUAUGAUCUGCCCUGGUUCAGGACCCUCAGCUGGUAAGCUCU
rnacentral:lncRNA from 1 species